AGUGGGGAAUAUUGGACAAUGGGCGCAAGCCUGAUCCAGCCAUGCCGCGUGAGUGAUGAAGGCCUUAGGGUUGUAAAGCUCUUUCGACGGGGACGAUAAUGACGGUACCCGUAGAAGAAGCCCCGGCUAACUUCGUGCCAGCAGCCGCGGUAAUACGAAGGGGGCUAGCGUUGCUCGGAAUUACUGGGCGUAAAGGGCGCGUAGGCGGACGUUUAAGUCGGGGGUGAAAGCCCAGGGCUCAACCCUGGAAUUGCCUUCGAUACUGGACGUCUCGAGACCGGUAGAGGUAAGCGGAACUGCGAGUGUAGAGGUGAAAUUCGUAGAUAUUCGCAAGAACACCAGUGGCGAAGGCGGCUUACUGGACCGGUUCUGACGCUGAGGCGCGAAAGCGUGGGGAGCAAA
rnacentral:rRNA from 1 species